CCUACGGGGGGCAGCAGUGAGGCAUAUUGGUCAAUGGCCGGAAGGCUGAACCAGCCAAGCCGCGUGAAGGACGAAGGUGCCAAGCAUUGUAAACUUCUUUUGUCAAGGGACAAAAUCAGGCUCGAGAGCCUGACCGAGGGUACUCGAAGAAAACGCAUCGGCUAACUCCGUGCCAUCAGCCGCGGUAAUACGGAGGAUCCGAGCGUUAUCCGGAUUUAUUGGGUUUAACGGGAGCGUAGGUGGAUUGUUAAGUCAGUUGUGAAAGUUUGCGGCUCAACCGUAAAAUUGCAGUUGAAACUGGCAGUCUGGAGUACAGUAGAGGUGGGCGGAAUUCGUGGUGUAGCGGUGAAAUGCUUAGAUAUCACGAAGAACUCCGAUUGCGAAGGCAGCUCACUGGACUGCAACUGACACUGAGGCUCGAAAGUGUGGGUAUCAAACAGGAUUAGAUACCCCUGUAGUC
rnacentral:rRNA from 1 species